rnacentral:rRNA from 1 species
AGUGAACGCUGGCGGUAGGCCUAACACAUGCAAGUCGAACGGCAGCACAGUAAGAGCUUGCUCUUACGGGUGGCGAGUGGCGGACGGGUGAGGAAUACAUCGGAAUCUACUUUUUCGUGGGGGAUAACGUAGGGAAACUUACGCUAAUACCGCAUACGACCUACGGGUGAAAGCAGGGGAUCUUCGGACCUUGCGCGAUUGAAUGAGCCGAUGUCGGAUUAGCUAGUUGGCGGGGUAAAGGCCCACCAAGGCGACGAUCCGUAGCUGGUCUGAGAGGAUGAGCAGCCACACUGGAACUGAGACACGGUCCAGACUCCUACGGGAGGCAGCAGUGGGGAAUAUUGGACAAAGGGCGCAAGCCUGAUCCAGCCAUACCGCGUGGGUGAAGAAGGCCUUCGGGUUGUAAAGCCCUUUUGUUGGGAAAGAAAAGCAGCAGGUUAAUACCCCACUGUUCUGACGGUACCCAAAGAAUAAGCACCGGCUAACUUCGUG